rnacentral:rRNA from 1 species
AGAGUUUGAUCCUGGCUCAGAACGAACGCUGGCGGCAGGCCUAACACAUGCAAGUCGAGCGCGCCUUCGGGCGAGCGGCGGACGGGUUAGUAACGCGUGGGAACGUGCCCAGAUCUACGGAAUAGCCACUGGAAACGGUGAGUAAUACCGUAUACGCCCUUCGGGGGAAAGAUUUAUCGGAUUUGGAUCGGCCCGCGUUAGAUUAGGUAGUUGGUGGGGUAAUGGCCUACCAAGCCUACGAUCUAUAGCUGGUUUUAGAGGAUGAUCAGCAACACUGGGACUGAGACACGGCCCAGACUCCUACGGGAGGCAGCAGUGGGGAAUCUUGGACAAUGGGGGCAACCCUGAUCCAGCCAUGCCGCGUGAGUGAAGAAGGCCCUAGGGUCGUAAAACUCUUUCGCCUGUGAUGAUAAUGACAGUAGCAGGUAAAGAAACCCCGGCUAACUCCGUGCCAGCAGCCGCGGUAAUACGGAGGGGGUUAGCGUUGUUCGGAAUUACUGGGCGUAAAGCGCACGUAGGCGGAUUAGAAAGUUAGAGGUGAAAUCCCGGGGCUCAACCCCGGAACUGCCUUUAAAACUACUAGUCUAGAGUUCGAGAGAGGUGAGUGGAAUUCCGAGUGUAGAGGUGAAAUUCGUAGAUAUUCGGAGGAACACCAGUGGCGAAGGCGGCUCACUGGCUCGAUACUGACGCUGAGGUGCGAAAGUGUGGGGAGCAAACAGGAUUAGAUACCCUGGUAGUCCACACCGUAAACGAUGAAUGCCAGUCGUCGGGUAGUAUACUAUUCGGUGACACACCUAACGGAUUAAGCAUUCCGCCUGGGGAGUACGGUCGCAAGAUUAAAACUCAAAGGAAUU